ensembl:lncRNA
AUGUUUUGUUUGUUGUGUACAGGAACAAUCAUACGUAACGCUACAGAGGAGACAAGCGUCACUCUGAACUGUCCUCAUGAUGUCGGAGGAUCACAUGUUCCAACAUGGAGCAAAGACGGGACUGAAAUAAAACCAAAAAGAAGGUUUUCCGUUUCACCUGUGGACAAGACAUUGAGUAUAAGAGAUGUGAAGCUUAGCGACUCUGGACUUUACUACUGUGAUGGAAAACCUGCUGUGUACCUGACUGUGAUCAAAGUCGCUCCUCCAGAACAAAAACCACCUCUCCCUUUGGUGAUAGGUAUCGUUGUCCCCUUGCUCCUCAUCAUCCUCCUCCUCAUCUUCUACCUGAUUCAUCGACGCAGGUUUAAAAGGCGAGGUAAAUAAAACCUGACACAGUAUGAGUGUAACAUAUUCUGCACACUUUGAUUUGUUAAUUUAUAUUUUAAUAAUUAAUUUGUAAAAAUGACAUCAGAAAGUCAGAUACAGGUUAUAACUCAGAUAUGUUUUUAGGUCAGUUGAUUAUUACUCAACAGAUUAUCAGCUCUGUGACAUUCACACUCUUUUUCACAGGAACUGAGGAAAGAUGCCACGUCUAUGAUGAGAUACAGGGUGGAGCAGAGUUUCAGGUUACAAACGGUGAGAAAUAAGAAGUGUUUCAUUCUAUAAAAAACUUCCUCCUUCCUCUUUCUGUGAGGAUCCAGACUGAUGUGAAAUGAAAUCCCACACUGAUGGAUUUGUGCUGAGUUUCCUAAAGUACACAGACGGUGGCCAACCUGAUUUAUAUGACUUGAACCAAAUAAGCUGUAUUAAUGUAUGUAAGUACCACUUCAUAUAUACAAAUGAGUAUUCUUCUAUUUUUGAUUCUUCCUGCAGGUGUAGAACGAGUCCCUGUACCUACGGAUGCAUACUGCAUGGUAGAGUAUACAGGUAAAUAAUUCAAAAUAUUUCCACUACCUUUACGAAGCGCCAAAAAAAGUUGCUUGUUUAGUGCAGAUGACUUCACGAUUUAGCACCGAGCAGACAGGAAGUCACGUACAGAAACAACGACUGCUGUGUCUCAGUUCAGGUCUGCAUCCUUCAGAGGAGCAUUUGAAGGCCAAUUAUGUCACAACGCUGCCUGAAGGCUGUCCCAGUCUGAAGGCUCCUCCAGAUGCUCCUUCUUUACCCUGUUUCUGGAGGAUGCACUGCUACAAUCCUUUGUGGCCUCACAUAUCCCAAUAUUCUUUGCGCGCCUGAAAAAGAAGAAAGAAAGAAAGAAAGAGAGAAAAUGGGGACAUCACGUGGCGUAGAUCGUCACUUUUGCGGGCCUGGGUAGCAGAAGUCGUGACGUAAGGGUAAAACAUCUGGUGACGCAACCAGGAAAUGCUCCAAAGGCUAGACCGUCACAUUUAACGAUGGCUGACGAGGUUAACAAGGUCUCUCUGAAGGACUCGCCUUCAAAGACCACAAAGGCCGAGUCCUUCAGAGGAAGCAGACCCUGAAUUGAAUCACAGCAAAUGUCUCAAAAAAGAGACAAAUACAAGCUCUUCUAAUAAUCCUUUGGUCGGCAACACUUCAUGUUGUUGUUUUUAUAGCACAUACCUAUAACUGCGGUCGCGAGUAGUUAUGUGAUUUUCGCGGGAACUCCUCGGUCUCGUGACGCCAGUUGUCCGACCGUACUCGGCGUGGUGGACUCAAAACACAAACGGUGGCGGAGCAAAACCAGACCGGAGCCGUAACGCACUGGAUACGUAUCUGGUGGAAUCUCAGGAUGAGAGUUGAUCAAAAC